AAAAGAAGAUUGGAAACAAAGAAUGAAGCUGAGGAUGAUAAUGAAAUGCAAAUGCCUAAACAUUCGAACAUAUAAUAAAAUAAACAGUAGAGCUAGCCUGAAAAGGAAAGGCAAAGGGGAGAGGAACAUGAAAGGAGAAUUUAGGGAAGUUUAGAUUAGUCACAAAAGUAUUGUGGUUUUAGACAAGCAACCACAAAGCAUUUCCUGACCUGUAGGAACUUCCUUCCUCCUGCAGUUUUACAGAAGCUUGUCUCCUUCUACCCCAACAACUGAAGCCACACACUCUUACUUAGGCAUAUCCAGCUUAAUAGACCUGAGUGUCUGCGUUUGGAAAUAUGUUGCUGUUUAAUCCAGGAAGCUUUGUCAGGCACUCUGCACCAUUACUUGGGCUCGAUGCACCAUCAGAGAUGCUACAGAAGAGGCUGGGAGGGUAAAUAGACACGAGGGCAUUCAGCACGCAGUGCCCUGGCAGAGACGAGGGGGGUGGCAUCAUCAGUGUGAUAUCGAGAAAACCAGCCUGACAAAAGGAAUCAGAAAGCAAAUGGACCUUGCAAUGGAGUCUCUUCAAUAAUCUGGAGGGAAAGUAACUGCAAAGUGCACCGAAAUAGCAGCUGAUAGGUGAACAGAGAGCAUGACUUUGCAAAUGUGUGUUACAUUUAACACAAUACAAGCAAACUCUGGAAAAUUACUAGAAGUAAUGUGCAGUUGUUAGACUCUGAUUGUUGCAAUUUAAAGAAAAUACAGGUCACUGAGAGAUUCUGAGAAGACAGUCACAUCUUUUACUUAUACUGAGAGCUAAAAUGUUUUAAAUGUAUUUAAUGUACAGUUAAAAGAAUCUGUGGAAAAAUGGAAGUUAUAUUUCUGUGAUGUGUUAUGUGGGAGGAGGGUGAUAUGAAGUGGGAAGUAAAGCCAGCAAAAGCCUGUCAUUUUUAUGUGAACAGGCAGCAAUUUUAAUAGACUUUAUCGCGCCCCCCAUGUGAGAAGGGGACCCACCGGGGUGGGGGAAUGUGGGAGGCUUUUAGGCCACUUUGCUCCUUUAAGUGUGUCAAUUUUGUCCUGCUUUCUCCCAUCCUCCCCUCUCGGCUCAUCUUUCCAUCUACUUCCACCCCAGGUUUGCUCAUGCAUGUUAUCACUUAGCUGGCAGCAGAAGGAGGCUACAGAGGAGGUCUUAAACCCACUCCCCAGGAGGCACCCAACCCCUUCGCAGAUUCAUCCUCACUUUUACUGGCAUCACUCAACAGCUGUCCUCCUCUCUCUCUCUGUUGCAACCAUUACGAUAUUAUCCAUUUCCAGGAUCCAGUAUGUGUGUGCAGUAAUGAAUGAUUUCUUCUCUCUUCUCUCCUGCACACUGACAGAUAGGCGGGUGUUUUCUGAGCUGGAGAAACUCCGAUAAGCGAAGCUGACUUCAAACAGGUGUGACAGUUUUGGGUUUCUCCCAUCACCACCUGACUCCCCUCCUCUCUCACCAGUGAAAACCAGAUGGCUGCAUCCUCAGCGCCAUCCUCACUCCUAAACCUUCACCUGCUACCAGAGAUCCAUAAUACACCCAAAACUAACAGUGCCACUUGAGGACAUAUCCCAUCACUGAGUGACAUUCACACAGUUUCUGCUCUGAUGACGAGAAACCUUGGGGCGCCAUCCUCAAGCUAUAAAACUUUUUGGAAAGCAGUCACAAAUUAGUGUGAGAGGGCAUCUUAAAACAGAAAAUAGACUGUAAAGAAUUUCAUGACUAACAACUGUGGAUUGCUGCAGACAAAUAUAGAUUGUUCUGUAUUGCUGGUUUUGCCCAAAUGAAAUGACUGAUAUUGAUCAAUUUUAAACUCCUGCUGGUUGCUAAAGAGGCUUACUGUUAUUUUAAUUGUCAAUGAUUCUGAUGGCACUUAUUACUUUUUCACAUUUUGUCACACUGCAGUAUCAUAUGCAUCUUAUUGCCAAUUUGUAUGUGAUAGAGAAAGAAAGUAUAGUAAAGAAAGAAAUCCAGUUUGCAGUUUAACACGAUGGUGUUUACCACAAGCGCUUACAGAAGUCAGCUAAUUAGUAAAUACAGUCUAAACUUUUGGCUUACACACAUAAAAAUGACACUAAAUGGCCACUUUAACAUACCAUUCCCAGGGUAAAGCUUGGUGGUGGCAGCAUCAUGCUGUGGGGAUGGUUUUCUUUAGCAGGAACAGCGAAGCUGGUCAGAGUCGAAUGGAAGAUGGAUGGAGCUAAAUACAGAGCAAUCCUGGACUAGUCGUUAAAAGCUGCAAAGAUCUUAGAAUUCGAGCAGCUACAAUCACCUGGUUUAGGUUAAAGCAUUUAUAUGUGUUAGACUGUCCCAGUCAAAGUCCAGACAUAAAUCUAAAUGAGAAUUUGUGGUAAAAUUUGGAAAUUGCAGUUCACAGAGCUCUCUGGCUCAUCUGACUGAGCUUUAGUAUCACAAAAUCAUGUUACCAAGUUAAAAAAACAACAACUUUUAACUCAAAGGAAAUUUCAAUGAACAUUUGGUGCAUUAUUCAGACCUCCACCAUAGGGCCUCACCUAAUUGAUAAGCUAUCACUGAUACUACCAGGACACAUAUUCUAUUAUGUUAAUAAACCAUAAUAAUCUCACCUCUAUUGUGUGCAUACUUAAAACAGUUGGGGAACUUUCAUGUUCCAGCAGGCAUAACUGAAAACAAAUUAUGAUACUAUUGAACCUCAGAAGACUUGAAGACCCUACAGAGCCCAUCCAAGUUCUAGUUGAUUUGUAUUGUCAUGCUGCAGCAUUAGUUAAAUGUAAAGAGCCAAAAUUAGUGCUGUUCUUCUUAUAUUUUGUAGACGGUGGACUGUCUUGAAAUACAAAAAUCUUGUGUUGGGCAAUAGAAUAAAAAACAUAGGGGCUA